rnacentral:rRNA from 1 species
UUUUUAUGGAGAGUUUGAUCCUGGCUCAGGAUGAACGCUGGCGGCGUGCCUAAUACAUGCAAGUCGAGCGAACAGACGAGGAGCUUGCUCCUCUGACGUUAGCGGCGGACGGGUGAGUAACACGUGGAUAACCUACCUAUAAGACUGGGAUAACUUCGGGAAACCGGAGCUAAUACCGGAUAAUAUAUUGAACCGCAUGGUUCAAUAGUGAAAGACGGUUUUGCUGUCACUUAUAGAUGGAUCCGCGCCGCAUUAGCUAGUUGGUAAGGUAACGGCUUACCAAGGCAACGAUGCGUAGCCGACCUGAGAGGGUGAUCGGC